GGAGGCCCCAGCGCAGGGACCUUCCGGCUCAGCCCCCCCCCCGGACCCCUGGGGCCCGAGUCCGGCCGCCAAGGGCUCUCGCGGCGGCAGGAGCCCGUAAGGGGGCAGCCCGGUCCCUGCUGUACCGUGAGGAGCUGGGAGCCCGGACUCCUGGGUUCUCUCCCGGCUCUGGGAGGGGAGCGGGGACGCGUGGGUACAAGAGGGCUCGGGCCAGCCUGUGGUGUAUGUCACUGUCACAAAGCUUACACCCAUGUCCCUUCCCAGCAUCAUGGGGAGAACAGCUGCCUCAUACGGAUGCUGUGUUCUGGCCUCAGUGCUGGCGCUGAAGGAGCAGGCGCCCAGGCUGGCUGCCCCCACCCACCGCCCUGCACACCACACGUGUUCCCUCCCUGGGUUCCUGGAGAGAUACACAGAAGCAAGCUCCGUGAAUCUAAACAGAGGGACGCCACCCUCCCUGUUUCCAGUCCUGGAAACACAAGCACCGAGAUAGCUAAUCUCUCUUCCACCCCCUCCUUCACCCAGAGGGAAUGCAAAGUCAGGCUCGUAAAUCUAACACAGAGAUUUUUCCCCCUGACUUCUUCCUCCCACCAAUUCCCUGGAGCCCCCACUAAAGAAAACUCCAACAGGUCUUAAAAAGAAAGCUUUAUAUAAAAAGAAAGAAAAAAUACAUAAAAAUGGUCUCUCUGUAUUAAGGUGACAAAUACAGGGUCAAUUGCUUAAAAGAAAUAUGAAUAAACAGCCUUAUCCACAAAGAAUACAAUUUAACACAUUCCAGCAACUAUACACAUGUAAAUACAAAAGAAAACAAUAUAAACCUAUGGUCUUCCUAUCUUUGUACUUACAACUUGGAAACAGAAGAUUAGAAAGCUGGAGAUAGAAAAAUCACUCUCAUAGCCGAGAGGGUCAGACACAAGACAAAGAACAAAAAGCUCACACACAAACUUCCCUCCACCCAGAUUUGAAAAAGUCUUGUUUCCUGAUUGGUCCUCUGGUUAGAUGUUUCAGGCUACUGGUGUUACCCCUUUACAGGUAAAAUAACAUUAACCCUUAGCUAUCUGUUUAUGACAGUGGGUUAGAGUCUCCCCUCCUCAUCCUUUCUCCACUGGACCUUUCCUCUAUC